UGCGUAGGUGGCAGGGUAAGUUUGGUGUGAAAUCUCCGGGCUUAACCCGGAAAUGGCAUUGAAUACUAUCCUGCUCGAGGGUUGGAGGGGGGACUGGAAUUCUCGGUGUAGCAGUGAAAUGCGUAGAUAUCGAGAGGAACACCAGUGGCGAAGGCGAGUCCCUGGACAAUACCUGACACUGAGGCACGAAAGCUAGGGGAGCAAACA
rnacentral:rRNA from 1 species